GGACUACACGGGUAUCUAAUCCUGUUUGAUCCCCACGCUUUCGGGUCUGAGUGUCAGUGUUGGGCCAGUAAGCCGCCUUCGCCUCCGGUAUUCCUCCUGAUAUCUACGUAUUUCACCACUACACCAGGAAUUCUACUUACCUCUCCCACACUCAAGCUUCGCAGUAUCAAAUGCACUUCCAAGGUUAAGCCCUGGGCUUUCACACCUGACUUACAAAGCCACCUACACCCGCUUUACGCCCAAUGAUUCCGAACAACGCUAGGGUCCCUCGUCUUACCGCGGCGGCUGGCAC
rnacentral:rRNA from 1 species